AAGCCUUACCAUUCAUUCAGAGCAGAUGAAAGCUUCCUCCCAGCUGGAAGGUGUUUGUGGCAGCCCAGUGCCCAGCCUCCCUCCCUGCCGUUCAGAGGUUGGCGUGGAUGGGGAGACCAGUGCCUGCUGGCUCUGGUAGGGGUUUCAUGAGGCAUCUGCUGAGAUCCUUGCAUGACAGGUUGGCUGGAUGGAAGACCUGCACCUUGGGUGAAGGUACUUGGAAGAGCAGCUGUGGCUCUGUGCUUUCUCAGACACGGACAGUCCCUCCCCAGGGCUUCCCUCAGCCACCAGCUCCACCAUGAGACAUGGAGGCCAAGAAGACAUUGCCUCUUCUUCACCUGCCACUGCUCUGACUGAAGAAGGACAUUCUUGCUCCAUGCUGAAGGUGUCCAGCUAAUUCCCUGGUCCUGGGGAAGUCGGUGAAGGUCGUGUGGCAUAACCUGGGUACGGCAGUUGUGCUGCCAGGCAUAAGAUUUUUUUGUGGACUGGGUAAUGACAUGGGUCUGUCAACUCCCACACACAAAGUGCAUAGCGGGAGAGGGCACCCACUUGAUUUGCCAGGACAAUUUGGAGGAGGAAUUUCCUAUUUGUGGGAGCUAAUAGCCUUUUCCAGAAGAUGGAGUUUGCAAGGGAGGAGACAGCAAAAUUCCUGACCUAAGGAGACCAAGAGUAUUCGACUCAGAACCAGGGGAAGGUUUGGUAAACUGGCUGUAAAAAUAUCCCUUGUGUAAGCAAGUCUCUGUGUUGAAAUGAAAGUGCUAUCAAAGCC